GACGAACGCUGGCGGCGUGCCUAAUACAUGCAAGUUGAGCGCUGAAGGUUGGUACUUGUACCCACUGGAUGAGCAGCGAACGGGUGAGUAACGCGUGGGGAAUCUGCCUUUGAGCGGGGGACAACAUUUGGAAACGAAUGCUAAUACCGCAUAAAAACUUUAAACACAAGUUUUAAGUUUGAAAGAUGCAAUUGCAUCACUCAAAGAUGAUCCCGCGUUGUAUUAGCUAGUUGGUGAGGUAAAGGCUCACCAAGGCGAUGAUACAUAGCCGACCUGAGAGGGGGAUCGGCCACAUUGGGACGGAGACACGGCCCAAACUCCUACGGGAGGCAGCAGUAGGGAAUCUUCGGCAAUGGACGAAAGUCUGACCGAGCAACGCCGCGUGAGUGAAGAAGGGUUUCGGAUCGGAAAACUCGGUUGGUAGAGAAGAACGUUGGUGAGAGUGGAAAGCUCAUCAAGUGACGGUAACUACCCAGAAAGGGACGGCUAACUACGUG
rnacentral:rRNA from 1 species